GACGUAGGGCGCGAGCGUUGUCCGGAUUUAUUGGGCGUAAAGAGCUCGUAGGCGGCUUGUCACGUCGGGUGUGAAAGCCCGGGGCUUAACCCCGGGUCUGCAUUCGAUACGGGCUAGCUAGAGUGUGGUAGGGGAGAUCGGAAUUCCUGGUGUAGCGGUGAAAUGCGCAGAUAUCAGGAAGAACACCCGUGGCGAAAGCGGCUCUCUGGAACGGUACUGACGCUGAGACGCGAAAGCGUGGGGAGCGAACAGG
rnacentral:rRNA from 1 species